rnacentral:rRNA from 1 species
UACGUAGGGCGCAAGCGUUGUCCGGAAUUAUUGGGCGUAAAGAGCUCGUAGGCGGUUUGUCGCGUCUGCUGUGAAAACCUAAGGCUCAACCUUGGGCUUGCAGUGGGUACGGGCAGACUAGAGUGCGGUAGGGGUGACUGGAAUUCCUGGUGUAGCGGUGGAAUGCGCAGAUAUCAGGAGGAACACCGGUGGGCGAAGGCGGGGUCUCUGG